rnacentral:tRNA from 1 species
GCCUAGAUAGCUCAGUCGGUAGAGCAGAGGACUGAAAAUCCUCGUGUCGCUGGUUCGAUUCCGGCUCUAGGCACUA